rnacentral:rRNA from 1 species
CGGCGCACGGGUGCGUAACACGUAUGCAACCUACCUUUCACUGGAAGAUAGCCCCGAGAAAUCGGGAUUAAUACUCCAUAACAUCACAGAUUCGCAUGUUUCUGUGAUCAAAGCUCCGGCGGUGAAAGAUGGGCAUGCGGCCCAUUAGCUAGUUGGUGAGGUAAUGGCUCACCAAGGCAACGAUGGGUAGGGGGUCUGAGAGGAUGAUCCCCCACACUGGUACUGAGACACGGACCAGACUCCUACGGGAGGCAGCAGUGAGGAAUAUUGGUCAAUGGACGCAAGUCUGAACCAGCCAUGCCGCGUGCAGGAAGACUGCCCUACGGGUUGUAAACUGCUUUUAUAUGGGAAUAAACCCCCGGACGUGUCCGGGGCUGAAGGUACCAUACGAAUAAGGAUCGGCUAACUCCGUGCCAGCAGCCGCGGUAAU